AAAUGAAUAGACGGGGACCCGCACAAGCGGUGGAGCAUGUGGUUUAAUUCGAAGCAACGCGAAGAACCUUACCUGAUCUUGACAUCCUUCUGACCAUACUUUGUAAAGAAGUACUUCCUACGGGACAGAAGAGACAGGUGGUGCAUGGUUGUCGUCAGCUCGUGUCGUGAGAUGUUGGGUUAAGUCCCGCAACGAGCGCAACCCUUGUCCUUAGUUGCCAGCGGUAAGGCCGGGCACUCUAGGGAGACUGCCGGGGACAACCCGGAGGAAGGUGGGGACGACGUCAAAUCAUCAUGCCCCUUAUGACCAGGGCUACACACGUGCUACAAUGGCGUAAACAAAGAGAAGCAAACCCGCGAGGGGGAGCCAACCUCAAAAACAACGUCUCAGUUCGGACUGUAGUCUGCAAUUCGACUACACGAAGCCGGAAUCGCUAGUAAUCGCGAAUCAGCACGUCGCGGUGAAUACGUUCCCGGGUCUUGUACACACCGCCCGU
rnacentral:rRNA from 1 species